rnacentral:rRNA from 1 species
GACGAACGCUGGCGGCGUGCUUAACACAUGCAAGUCGAGCGAACAGACGAGGCGCUUGCUCCUCUGUCGUUAGCGGCGGGGGGGUGAGUCACAUGUGUAUACCCUCCCUAUAAGACUGGGAUCAAUUCGGGAAACCGGCGCUAAUACCGGAUAAUAUCUUGAACCGCAUGGGGCACUAGUGAAUGACGGUUUUGCUGUCACUUAUAGAUGGAUCCGCGCCGCAUUAGCUAGUUGGUAAGGUAACGGCUUACCAAGGCAACGAUGCGUAGCCGACCUGAGAGGGUGGUCGGCCACAUGGGAGGUGAGACGGCGUCCAUACUCCUGCGAGACGCAGCAGUAGGGAAUCUUACGCAAUGGGGGAGAGCCUGACAGAGCAACGCGGCGUGAGUUAUGAAGGUCUUCGGAUCGGAAAGCUCUGUUAUUAGUGGAGAACAAAUGUGUAAGUAACUGAGCACGUCUUGACGGUACCUAGUCAAGAAGCCACGGCUAACUACGUG